GGUGGCUCAGUGGUAGAGUGCUUGCCUUGCAAGCAUGAGAUCCUGGGUUCGAUUCCUCAGCACCA
rnacentral:tRNA from 1 species